AACUAAGUUUGUUCUUGGUAUAAGCUUUUGUGUGCAUGCACACUUCUUCAGAUUCAUAUUUGAUAGAUUCAUAUCUGAAGAAGUGUGCAUGCACACAAAAGCUUAUACCAAGAACAAACUUAGUUGG
rnacentral:miRNA from 1 species